ACCAGGACUCCCCGCUGAGAUAAGGCGUCGGUGGAGGUCCAAGUGGCAUUUCUGUACUUCUUUCCGCUGGAGCAUCAUUUUCAGAUUUCCAUGGAAAUCUCUUUCUCCUGGAGACCAGCAGAGGCUCAAGACCAACCACUUACUCCUCACAAAAUGAAAAUAUAAGCCAUGAUGAAGUCAAACUGGAGUCCCUUUGAACCCUGGAUGGGGGGAUCCACAAAAAAUGCAAUGAUUUAAACAAGUCACCUGAUCUUCUUAAAAGAUAGAGCUGUGAAGCCCUUCAGAUGAGAUCAACGCUAACUACACAGCACCACACUUGAAGUCCAUUGCAACUGGUAGUUUCAGAAUUCUCAAAACCAAUUUCAGCUAUGAUUAUCAUAUGCCCUUACCUUGUGAUUUUGAACCCUGGGUCAGACUUGUCAACCUGCCAAGGUCCUCUCUGGGAGUCAUCUCGCCCUCACUCUCCACCACGCCUGGACUCAGCCUCUGGGUGGGGAGCGGGGUGCUGGGAAAGAGGUUUGCUGCUAGAUCUGUCAACUUUGCCCACCUGGGGUGCACUGCAGUGGUGGGGGUGGGCGCCCACAGUGGGCACAGAGCUGCGGUGCUGAGAGAGAGUUUACUCAAAAGCACAGCUGGAAUUUAUCAGAGGGUUCAGGCUAAAGGACUGAGUAGAGAAAACAGCUAAUACUGUACUGUUUGGGGAAUAAAAACAUUUAAUGUAGUCUUGGGAAUUUAUAGAUCAAAGAUUGGAUCUCAAACUAAAACCAGCUUUGAAAGUAAGCUAAAACACUUGGAUACCUGUUAAUAGGUUGAAUUGUGCCCACCGUCCCCCAUCCCCGCCAAAGAAAUGUCAGAGUCCUGAUGCUCCCUAACCUCAGAAUGUGACCUUAUUUGAAGAUAGAAUCUUUAUAAGUAAUUAAGUGAAAAUAAGGUCAUUAGGGUGGGCCCUUAUCCAA